rnacentral:piRNA from 1 species
UCCAACCCUACCCUGGACAGUGGAAAAG